AUUUUCCAUUCAUUUUUAUUCAUACAGGAUGUUGAUGUCAACAAGCUUAAUUCUAGUGGCGAUACAGUAAAAGCUUCCACUGAAGAGAUUCAGGUAGCAUGCGACAUUACAAGUGAACAUGGUGAAUCAAAGGGUUUUGGAUCUCAGAUUCCUGUCGAGGUAUAUCAAGAAUCAGCACGUGGUGUCAUGCCUACAAAUGAAGGAAGCCCCAAGUCAGUUGCCGAUAAAAGUGUUGAAGGUGUAUCUUCUAUAUCAAAAGGUUGUUCUUGCUGCCGAUUCAAAUCGAGAGACGCUGCACAAUGACAAAGUUGACAUUAAACAAGGUAAUUACCUUGUUGAGUUUGAGGACAGGGAUGCUGUAGUGGAAACGGAACACAUUUCUCAGAUUGAGUUGGCUGAUGACUUACUCCCAUCUUAAAAAACUAUUGCAAAAAUUGUGAUGACACUGCGUAAAGACAGGCGCCCCGGCCCUUUGCAAGUUUCUCCUUAUAGGACAAAUUUUGGGUCAGCUUCGGGUUAGUAUUGAGUUACUUUUCAUUUUAAGAUUAUAUUCAAUUCUCCUUUUAUUUAAUGUGAUUUAAAUUUUGUCAGGCAGGUAGUUCAGUUAAGUUGACGGAAAUAUUUGACAAAAAGCACCCAUUUGAGAAUAACUGUAUCAACAGGCCACAUGAUUCAAAGCUUUUCGAUAAUUUCUCGAAAUGGAUUAGGGAGGGGUUGCUUGUAAGGCAUGAGAACAGAAAGAACAAAGAUGACCAUUACAAGAAGGGCAAGGCAACACUGGCGUUAUUCUUGGAUUGUGGUAUAGAGAAAAUCAAUGACAAAAAUUGGUUCUACCUUUUAGAAAUGGAUGGUCAAAUGUGGAAUGACGAGGUGCGAUAUACCUUAUUUUUUCACAUACAGUUUAAAGUUGUACGUAUUCAAUAAUAAUUGUUUGUAGUCUCUGUUAUUGUAGCACAUUGAUGUCAUGUUUUAUUACUUCCGAAAGAAAUCCAAGUAUGAUUCAAACAACACAUACAAGUUUACCACUGUCGACUGCCUUUUCAAGUAAAAGAUUGAUGAUAUUCACAAAGCGUAUACUGACUCGGAUGGUGUCUUAAGCCUUGGUCGACAAGAAGAUGCUUUAUCUGAAUACGUUAAAGGCCACCGGUUGCUAUGCACUCUCCCGUGGCAUUUGGUUGACCAUAUAUUCAUUCCAUUCAACAUUGAAGAAAUAAAUCACUGGUUGUUGGCAGUUCUGUCAUUAUUGGACAGACGGAUAUACGUAUAUGACUCGUACAGAGCUGCAGGUCACGAUGCAGCUGUUACGUCUGAAAUUGACAAGCUUGCCUCGCUAUUGCCAUUGUUCUUACAUAUCACAGAUUUCUAUCAAGAAAGACAAGGAAUUGAUUGGAAUCAUCACCCUGCAUACAAAGGCAAAGCACCGGCUGAUAAAUUAGAUGUCGUGUUUGUUGACAAUCUGCCACAACAAAGGCCAGGGAGCAUGUACUGAUGUUUCUCUUCUUUUUUUUUCUACAGUUACAUAUAUUCGGAUAAUUCGUCUUUUUCAUAUACAUUUUUGUUUUUUCUUUCCUGUGUGUAGGAAUUGCGGGAUGUAUGUGGCUGCAUUCGAGGAGUAUUUGAGUCAAGGAGAAAGUAUUCCAACCGGUGACCUUGAUGCUGAAUUAAUCCGUAUGAGAUAUGGUGCACUUCUGUGGGAAUACGCUCAGAGGAAGUUAGAAGCCGAUGUCGAAAGCUAUAACGAGGCACCUCCAAAGCCAGCCAGUCCAAAGAUUGAUUUUGAUCAAGUUGAAAAAGAUCAUAGUGCUUUAGUGUUUUUUUUUUUUUUAAGUUUUCUGGAUAUGUGAAACGGAAGUAGCAACUGGAUAUGUUUGGUUUUAUCAUCUUUUUCUGGUGGUAUUGUGAUAAACAGAAUAUACAAUGUUCAGUUUAACAUUUUAUGAAUUCAAUAGUUGUGUUAUACAUUGUGCAGCGCAGUUAAUCAUUUAUACUUUUCUUUCUUUCUACAUAGCUUUAUUCAGAGGAAAUACAUUGUCCAGUUAUUCAUUUUUAUCGUUAUGAAUACACAUUUGAAUGUUGUUGCUGGUUUUCAUUUUAUUUUUUUUGACGGAUUGUGGGUGUAGCAUUCAACUAAGUAUAGUUGCUACUUCUGUCUACUGCUUAAUUGUGAACUGAAGAGGUAGAAAUAGCCCCUGUAUGAAUAAAAUACUGCUUGAACUUUGC